rnacentral:lncRNA from 1 species
GAUUACCUCUUGACAGGUUAUCAAGCUACCAAGCCAGAAGCAAUAUUCCAGUUGGGGAAAGAAGAACAAGGAAUAGUAGAGAGAGAAUUCCCAAGUUGGUGCAGUCCAGCACGAUGGAAUUUAGUCGCCAGAAAAUGACCAUCUCGCUAUCUGUAAGAAGCAUCUUCCAAGACUGCUGCUUCCAUGUGCACGCCUGGUUUCAAAGUCUGUAGACAUCUUGUGUUCCGCGAAGGUGCUACUGAGUCUGCACAAGAGCGUGACUACGGCAGUGAGUGAAGAGGCUACGGAAACCUGCUAGUCCUCAAGCGAAUGUUUGUGCGACUCCAGCUGUAGGGGGCUUCUUGGAAAUGACCACAGAAUGGCUGCCACUGUUCUGGACAUCACAUCAACGGGCCCUCCAGAGCCAAAAGGAUGAAGAUAAACAAAAAAACUGGCUUCAUUCACAUGCCUGUCUCAUUUUAUAAAGGAGGAAAACAUCGGCCAGCUGCGGUGGCUUAUGCCUGUAAUCCCAGCACUUUGGGAGGCCAAG